rnacentral:rRNA from 1 species
AAACUCAAAUGAAUUGACGGGGGCCCGCACAAGCGCUGGAGCAUGUGGAUUAAUUCGUAGCAACGCGAAGAACCUUACCUGGUCUUGACAUACACGGAAGUUUUCAGAGAUGAGAAUGUGCCUUCGGGAACCGUGAGACAGGAGCUCCAUUGCUGUUGUCAGCUCCUGUUGUGAAAUGUUGGGUUAACUCUCGCAACGAGCGCAACCACUAUCCUUUGUUGCCAGCGGUCCGGCCGGGAACUCAAAGGAGACUGCCAGUGAUAAACUGGAGGAAGGUGGGGAUGACGUCAAGUCAUCAUGGCCCUUACGACCAGGGCUACACCAGUGCUCCAAUGGCGCAUACAAAGAGAAGCGACCUCGCGAGAGCAAGCGGACCUCAUAAAGUGCGUCGUAGUCCGGAUUGGAGUCUGCAACUAGACUCCAUGAAGUCGGAAACGCUAG